CCUACGGGUGGCAGCAGUGGGGAAUAUUGCUCAAUGGGCGCAAGCCUGAAGCAGCAACGCCGCGUGAAGGAUGAAGGCCUUCGGAUUGUAAACUUCUUUUUAUAGAGAAGAAAAUGGCGGUAUGUAACUAAUUAUGUAUGGAUAAAACCGUGCCAGCAGGCGCGGUAUUACGGAGGGGGCAAGGGUUCUGCGGAAUAACUGGGCGUAAAGAGGGCGUAGGCGGGUUAGCAAGUCAGUAGUGAAAUCUUAGGGCUUAACCAUAGAACUGCAAUUGAAACUGUCAUUCUAGAGUAUGGGAGAGGUAGGUGGAAUUCGUGGUGUAGGGGUAAAAUGCGUAGAUAUCACGAGGAAUACCGAUUGCGAAGGCGACAUGCUAGA
rnacentral:rRNA from 1 species